rnacentral:rRNA from 1 species
CCGUAACUAUAACGGUCCUAAGGUAGCGAAAUUCCUUGUCGGGUAAGUUCCGACCUGCACGAAUGGCGUAAUGAUGGCCAGGCUGUCUCCACCCGAGACUCAGUGAAAUUGAACUCGCUGUGAAGAUGCAGUGUACCCGCGGCAAGACGGAAAGACCCCGUGAACCUUUACUAUAGCUUGACACUGAACAUUGAGCCUUGAUGUGUAGGAUAGGUGGGAGGCUUUGAAGCGUGGACGCCAGUCUGCGUGGAGCCAACCUUGAAAUACCACCCUUUAAUGUUUGAUGUUCUAACGUUGGCCCCUUACCGGGGUUGCGGACAGUGUCUGGUGGGUAGUUUGACUGGGGCGGUCUCCUCCCAAAGCGUAACGGAGGAGCACGAAGGUUAGCUAAUCCUGGUCGGACAUCAGGAGGUUAGUGCAAUGGCAUAAGCUAGCUUGACUGCGAGCGUGACGGCGCGAGCAGGUGCGAAAGCAGGUCAUAGUGAUCCGGUGGUUCUGAAUGGAAGGGCCAUCGCUCAACGGAUAAAAGGUACUCCGGGGAUAACAGGCUGAUACCGCCCAAGAGUUCAUAUCGACGGCGGUGUUUGGCACCUCGAUGUCGGCUCAUCACAUCCUGGGGCUGAAGUAGGUCCCAAGGGUAUGGCUGUUCGCCAUUUAAAGUGGUACGCGAGCUGGGUUUAGAACGUCGUGAGACAGUUCGGUCCCUAUCUGCCGUGGGCGCUGGAGAAUUGAGGGGGGCUGCUCCUAGUACGAGAGGACCGGAGUGGACGCAUCACUGGUGUUCGGGUUGUCAUGCCAAUGGCACUGCCCGGUAGCUAAAUGCGGAAGAGAUAAGUGCUGAAAGCAUCUAAGCACGAAACUUGCCCCGAGAUGAGUUCUCCCUGAGACUUUAAGUCUCCUGAAGGAACGUUGAAGAC